CAAAGAUAAUUUUUCAUUUCUUUAUGAAUAAAGUAUUUCAUAUAAUCUUUUUGAAAAUAAUGUUUUGUAGUAGCAUUUCAAAAUAAUCAUUAAUCAAUCAUGAGUUCAAAAUAAUCAUUAAUCAAUCAUGAUUUCAAAAUAAUCAUUAAUCAAUCAUGAGUUCAAAAUAAUCAAUUUUAAAAAUAAUCAGUACUAUAAGUGCAGUAAAAUCCCUUACGCAUCAUAGCUUCAAACUAUGGUGGAUAGUUUGUGAAUGCUUCCCUCCUAUUUUUUACAUGCUUUUUCCUCAUAACUUACGUUCGUCGUUAUCGGAAAUCGUUAUUGUAAUUUUAAAAAAAAUGUGAUCACCUCGAUACAUCAGGCUCAUCCUUUGCCUAUUAUAUUUAUAUCCUUCAUUAUGAAGGAAACCCAUAGGCAAUGGCCGACUGCAAAAUGUAUACAUUAUUUAUACCAAGAUUUCAGUUUAAUGAAUAAAAAAUUUUUACUGUAUCAGAAACUAUUUUUUUGAUAAAAGUUAUAGAUACUUGAAAAUUUUUUUUUAUUAUAGAGAUUUUCGAAUGCAUAUAGUUUCUAUAUUGUUUCGUCCCAUUCAAGUCUUACGAACAGUAUUUUAUGAUUGCAGUCAACAAUCAUAAUUUUUCAAAUCAAAAAUUUGAUUUUUCAAAUCAAAUAAUUAGAAGAUUAUUUGAUUUGAAAAAUCAAAUAAUCUUUUGAUUAUUUGCAGAAAUAAGUAAAUAAUUCACAGUGUUACUAUCAACCUACGGCAAAGCAAGAAAAUUUUGUUGAUAAUUCUCCUUUAUUUUUUUUCUAUCAUCAGCAGAACUUUUUUAAGCUUUAAACAAAUAGAAAUGAUAAUUCCCGAAAAUUUUAUUCACAUUUCAGGUGAUGAUUUCCCAAGUAGGUUUGUUUGAUUAAAACAUUUAUCAUCUUAAUUUUGAGAAUCAUUCUGAUUUUUUUCAUAUGACAAUUUUUCAAAGUGACUUCUCCGAACAUACUAAAAUAUUAAAGCAUUAAGUUAAUCUGAGACUUAAGGAAAUUUCUAUUACGAUCUUUCAUAUAAACAUCUGUUGAAUUAUCCUUCAAUAUUUAUAUCUGGUGACGACGUGCUCGAGUUCGUAAUGGCUCGAGGAAAAAGUCAGGCAAUAAUCCAUUAACUGGUUUUAGAAAUAGAAUUAAAAAAUAUUUAUUAAAUAUCCGAUACUGUUUUAUGUUAUAGAAGAAGGCUAUAAUAAUGCAAGGGGGUAUUAAAAAUAUAAUUUUGAAAUGAAGUUGUUAUGUUAAUCCAUUUUAUUAUUAAUGAUACGUAUAAAUGUUAAGAAUUAAUAUUUGAAUUUGAAGAAUUAAUAUUUUAGUACCCUUUACACAACUGCUCUUUGAAUAGUUUCAAACUGAAAAAUCAUUAUCCACGCAUAAAUAACAAUAAAAAUCGCAUAGCAAUGAAUACUGAAAAUCAGCAAGAUGAAUUUAAUUGUUAAUGAGUAAAAUCAGGUGUUUAUGGUUUUCUUUUUACAAAUGCGUAUCUUCGCUAUUCUUUCAUUCAUUGCAUUAUUUAUUUUUUAAUUCACAGAUCCUAUGUAUAGUAAGUAUGGGGAGAUGCCACUCUAUUGCAAAAAUAGGAGAAAACUUUAUUCAUACGCGAUGAAAUGGCAUUUUAUUUAAUUACGGAAAUUGCAUGCGUUGAUUUUGUGAUGAAUGACAUGAUUUAAAAUGAUGAUAUAUAUUACAAUUUAUAUUUUGUAAUCUAGCUCAACAUUUUCUUUUGAACUAAGGCGCCUAGCAAACCUUUUAGAAUUUAUCUUUUCAUGAUUAAGCAUCAUGGAAAUUUCUAUAACCAUGCAACUAAUUUUCAAUAAAUUAGUUUUAAUUUUUAAUUUAUUCAGAAAACCUGCUUUUUUUACUUACAUUUAAGGAAAUCAUUUGCAAUAAGAUUCCUAAAAGCUGAUUAAAAUAACAUAUAAAACAAUUCAAUAUAUAUAAAUAAAACAUUAACUUGAAUUAUUUCAGCUAAUCUAAAUGGCAUCUAUGAGCUGCUUAGAUGUUACACGAGAUCUGUUUCGGGAUUAUUCUUGUCAGCGUUCAGUGAGUCAUGAGUUGCCUUAUUUGUUGUCCAACAAAUAAAGUACCUGAUUACCACAAGUUUCAGAUUCAUUAAUCGACUCAUUUUCGCUAUUCUCAUAUUCAUGGAUAUUCAAUUUCUAGCAGGCAAGAUGAAUUAAAAUGUAAUCAAUGUAAAAAUUUUUAGAGAAGGUAGAAAGCACAAAACAAGAAAGCAUUGAAAGUAAUUCGUGUUCAGAAAUGCCAUUCGCCGUUUAAAGGAUGCGUCAGAAAUGGCAACCGAAUGACGGAAGAAAACUUCAUCUGGCGGUGCUUUACACUUGACAAUACAUACAUAUGGCAACUUUUCAAAGUAAUUCUGAAGAUUCACAGCCCAUAGAUUUUCUAACCUUUUCAAAAAUACAAAGAAAUUGGUGGGCAUAUGCGGCGGUACCGAAUUUUCUUGCGAUGGUAUCAGUAUUAUCUCAGCAUUCGUUGCAUGUUGCAUGUCUCGCGAAGCGAAUACGAAAUGAUUAGCGUUGAAAUCAUUUCGAAUUUUUCUUCGGUACAGUAGCUAACUCUUAACUCUUCAGCUAUGAAUUUACUUCCUAAUUAGAUGUCGCAUUCUAUUGGGGACAUUUAUUAUUAUUUCAGUGACUAUAAUAAUGUAAAGACAUUUAAGAUAUUGAAGCGUUUUAAAUGACUUUUACACUACUUUAUACUUUCACUGAAUUGAAUAUUAAAAAUUAAAAACGCAGAAAUUCGAUGCCCGAGUCGGAUUUGCCACAGUGCGCAAAGAGCUUAUUAGUUCAGCUCAUUCGGUUGACGCUUCCGAAUGAGUUCGGUUGACUAAGAACUUUUGUUUCUAAGCGAUUAAGGAUUUUUUUUUAUUGUUCAAUUUUUCUAAUAGUUUAAAAGUUUAAUUUUGAAUUUCCUCGUGAAACGUGACAGUACUGACGAAAAAUUUAGAAGUAUUUUAUUUUCUUUGAGAUCUUUUCUCUACAGUUCUUAAUUCAGAACACUUUUUCAAAAAAGGAACAAAAAAAAAAAAAACGUAGUUUUUAAAUGAUUCAUUUUAGAGCUUUUUCGUUUUUAUAGAAUAAAAUGUUCAAUUAGACGUUGAAUCUUGAUCUACCAAAUAUUUAAUAAUUACUUAAUAAUUCAUUAGAAUUACUGUUAAAUAAGUAAGUAAUGACAUAUAAAAACUGCAAAGAAAUGCCUCUCAAGAUCGGUAUUAAAAUUACCUUUUUUGAACAGCAAAUGGUAAGUCAAAUAGUAUUUUUUUAUGAUUUAUGUGAUUAAUUUUUGGCAAUUAAAUAUAAAACAGCGUUUUUAAAAUGCUCUUAAUCUUAAAUUUUUUCUUUCUUUCUUAAUUCUUUUAUCUUAAAGUUGUGUCAUUUUAUUUUAUUCAAAACAAGAAUAACUUUCGUUAUUGAAAAUAACGAAAGUACUUAAAUUACCUUAAAUUAUUCUAAGUAACUGGUUUAAUUUUGCAACGCACUUUUGUUAUCUACUUCUUACACAUUUUAUUGGCACGGAUUUUACAUACAAUAAAGUCAAAUGCAGUUGCUCGCGAUACCUUGAAAAUCAGUGAAAACUUUAUAGUCAUGAGAGGCGGCAUUCAUUCUAUUCCUGUAUUCAGAUAUCAUGAAUUCUUCUGGCUGAUUCCACACACUCCAAAACAACACCCAAAGUUCCAAAUAUGCGGAAAAAUGUUUCAUUUUCGUUUCUCAUCUAAAUUCAAGCAGUUGAUAAAGGUACCUCGAAAUAAAAAUUUUUCAAUUUCACGAUUAUUUGAUUAAAAAGUUCAACAUACCCCCAAAAAUUGUUCUGGGCUAUUCCUGUUCUACUGGCUGGUUUCAUUGCUUUUACACUCCGACACAUUGCUUCAAAAAUCAAUUUUUAAGUUAUUUACAUUUUUAUUCGCGAUGAUGAAUGAAACAUUAUUUACAAACAACAACUUAAAAUGAAUUUUUCUCCUUGCCAAAUUUUUAUUCACUUUCAUGUUUGAAAAAUGAUACGACUUUUUCCUUUAGUAGGGAAAAAUUCUAGGAAGAGACUGGCUCUCAAUUUCUUUUGCAUAUUUUACCAUUAAGGAUAGGAUAAACCUGUGAAUAAAGGAAGCAUUCAAACGCUUCUCUUUUAAAUGCCAGAUAUGAAAUAAGAUGCUGUUAAAUAUCUUCAUUCUUCUCUGUUCAUAGUAGUAAAAAUUUAUAUUAAAUUUUAAAUUAGGAUGAAAUGACUCAAAAUUACCUUUUAUCUAAAGAAUCUGUAAAUAAGAAUUAAAAAAAAAUCUACAUUUUGAAGGAUAGUUGGGAAUUUAAAAUUGCAGCUAAAUAUUAAGAUCAAUAUUUUUUUUUCUGAACAAAAUGAUUUCAUUUGAAUGCUGAACAAUCAAAACAAUUUCUAUAAUACAUUUUAGAAAAAUACAGAAUUUCCGUGCUCCUUUAGUCUAAAUUGAGAAGUCACUUUCAUUAGAAAGACGUCAUAGGGAUUUUGUAACCUUAAACUUUAGUUUUAAUUUUUCAAAAGCUACUUUGAAAAUUUACACAAAUGCAAAGAAUUCAAGAAUAUAUUAUAAAUCCACCUGAAGAAAAAAAUUUAAAUUCUUUCUUCUUCGGCUCUAAGCCUAGAAGAAACGACGACCGCCUAAGUGAGCUUACUCUACGCUAUCGCUGCCUAUCCAACCCGUGUCAUUUGAGUAAUGUCGGGCCAGUUUUUGCUUCUUGAAAUUUCUAAACAUUUUUUUUUUCCACGGGAUGGAGGUAUUAGCUCAAUCUGGAGAUGUUACUUUUAGUUUGGUGCUUUAUCACUGACUUGUCCUACUUGGAAGGCCCUACUAGGACCUAAGCUUCCACUAGCUUAGGUCAUACACUCAAGAAUGCCCACUCACCACAACAAGGGCUUAACACCAUAACAUAAAUUAAAAUUACAUUUAUCAAAAAAUUUAUUAGCUAAGUAACAUUUGUAUUAUUAAACUAUUUUUAUAUAUUAAGACAAGUGCAAUAUGCAAAUGUUUCUAAUUCCAUUCGAAUUGCGUUUCGAAACGCAUAAAUAAAUGCAUCAAUGUCUCACUGCGAAUUUUAAUGUAAAAAUCUUUAAUUAAAGACUUUUUAUCAUUAAAAAAAUUAUAUUCACAUUUGGAAGGCAAGGUUUUAGAAUAUUGAACCGUUUUAGAAACCUAAAUAUUCAAAUUAAAUGACCGAGUUUCGGUAUAAAUGCAUAUUUGUACUGUUAAAUGCAAGUUAAUUACAAAAUAAACACUAGAGACUUGCAUCCAUUGCAUUAUAAAAAAUAAUAACACAGCCAUAUUAGUAAACAAAAAUGGUUCUGAAACAAAUCGAAAUAUUUCCUUUUUCUUUCUUUCAUAGAGAUCUUGCUACACAUUCUUGAACACCUCUGGAGAGACCAUUUUUCUAUACUCAGGGGCUUAUUCUUCUGAGUUAGCAACGCUGAUAAAUACACGUAGUAUCUGUAAUAUAACCUCAGAAGGAAUCGCAUACUUCAAUAUUUUGAAACUUUCGAGUUCAUUUGAAAUGCCUGUUUCACUUUCGCAUCAACCAAUCCGGUAUUGAAUGGGUUUCGAGAAAAUGCUCCAUCUGAUGCUCUAAUCUGAAAAGGCAAAGCAAGGAAAAAUUUAAUACAUCAUCUGAAUUAACAAUCAAAGAUGCAUUUUUUAAAAUCGUUUUUCUUCGAAAUUCGACAGUAAUUUUGUGAUUAUUCAAAAUAAUAGAAUUUAGUAUAAUAUUUUUGAAUCAUAUGUAUGGAGGCAAAUAAAAGCAUAACGAAAUAUUAAUUAAAAAGAAGAAGCCUUUAAUGCAAAAAUGAAUUCAUAUAAAGGAAUUAAAACUGUAGUUUCACCAUUACAGUAUCAUCGUCGUUUAACGGAACCGUAUUAUUAUGCAACCACUGGAAACUCAAGUACACAGUACGUAAAACUCCAUGACAAAUAGAAAAAAAAAAGCAGGUUUCAUCACUACUAAACAUUUUAAAAUUUACUUCUUAAGAAUAAAUGUAGAAAUUUCCUUUGUUUCUUACUCUUUUCUUUUGUAGUGAAGUUUCUAUAUGUGUUUAUUUUCAGAUGUUUCAAAUUCACCAACUCAAGCGAAUUAUAUAGAUGAUUCUAAAUCUGAAUCAU